AGAGUUUGAUCCUGGCUCAGAUUGAACGCUGGCGGCGUGCCUUACACAUGCAAGUCGAACGGCAGCACGGGAGCAAUCCUGGUGGCGAGUGGCGAACGGGUGAGUAAUAUAUCGGAACGUGCCCAGUCGUGGGGGAUAACGCAGCGAAAGCUGUGCUAAUACCGCAUACGAUCUCUGGAUGAAAGCGGGGGACUCGCAAGGGCCUCGCGCGAUUGGAGCGGCCGAUAUCAGAUUAGCUAGUUGGUGGGGUAAAAGCCCACCAAGGCGACGAUCUGUAGCUGGUCUGAGAGGACGACCAGCCACACUGGAACUGAGACACGGUCCAGACUCCUACGGGAGGCAGCAGUGGGGAAUUUUGGACAAUGGGCGCAAGCCUGAUCCAGCAAUGCCGCGUGCAGGAUGAAGGCCUUCGGGUUGUAAACUGCUUUUGUACGGAACGAAACGGCGAGCUCUA
rnacentral:rRNA from 1 species